UUGGGAGCUCACUGGCUUCGGGUUCCGUAGGAACUCCGAAGUUAAGCGAGAAGGAGGCCAGAGCACUCCCAGGAUGGGUGACCCACUGGGAAGUUGCUCGUGAGUUCCCAAAAACAAAACUGUGAGGGAAUGGUAAGCCCAAAGCGGACAAUAUCGUGCUACGGUGGUGAAGCGGGUCCGGGAAGUGGUCCGCCCCAGGUCGGGAUGUGACAAAUGGUAUCAGAGCCAAACCCUGGCCGCGAGUGUGUCGACGAGGACGUCGGGCCCCUAAGGGGGUGGAUUGUAACAUCCCACAUCGCCCAGGGGAGUGAUCCUUAAAUGUGUAUUCCCAUCCCUACCUAGCACGAGGCCUUUUGGGAGCUCACUGGCUUCGGGUUCCAUAGGAACUCCGAAGUUAAGCGAGAAGGAGGCCAGAGCACUCCCAGGAUGGGUGACCCACUGGGAAGUUGCUCGUGAGUUCCCAAA
rnacentral:sRNA from 1 species